UGGUCCAUAAAUUAUACCAGAAUACCAUCAGCCUGGCCAUUCAACAUGCCAAUAAAGACGCCCAGAAACACAUGAAUUAUGCUGGCAUUAUGGCACGCAAUGAGAAAGAAGGCCACUUGGAACUGAAAGUUUAUCUGAGACCCACUACGUGUUCAAAGACUGGAGUAGACGAACAUCGAGAGGAAUGCCCAUUUUCUGAAACAGCGCGUACAGUCUGCAUUGUCUGUGGCACAAUAUCUGGCUCUAGCCUUCAGAAGUCCUACACCGACUGCAUUCCUUUUAAGAGAAUCAGUGAGAGGGAAGCCAUUUGGAAAGUUGAAUGUACUCCCAGGCACCACCCAGGCAGUAAGGUGCUAUAUUCACAUCCCGGGGAGGGAGAAAAGAGCAGGCAGUCACUGUUAAUGGACAUGUUAGAUUUGCUUGGAUUGUUGAAUCAAAUGUUGCUUGCUAUUAUUUCAAAUGUUCAGACAUUAUUGCAGUGAUUAUUAUGAUCACUUCAGACAACGCCAAACACUUCUAAUGCAAACGGCCAAUUCAUCUGCAGCAGCUGUUGCCUGGUUUCAUGUGUUUUGAUUAUUCAGGUAUAUAAAUGGAAGAUGUGUCUUGGA